GCGGCUGUAGCUCAACGGUAGAGCACUCCCCUGUCACGGGAGAGGCCGUGGGGUCAGCACCCAUCAGCCGCGCCA
rnacentral:tRNA from 1 species